UACGGAGGGGGCUAGCGUUGUUCGGAAUUACUGGGCGUAAAGCGCACGUAGGCGGCAAUUUAAGUCAGAGGUGAAAGCCCGGGGCUCAACCCCGGAACUGCCUUUGAGACUGGAUUGCUUGAAUCCGGGAGAGGUGAGUGGAAUUCCGAGUGUAGAGGUGAAAUUCGUAGAUAUUCGGAAGAACACCAGUGGCGAAGGCGGCUCACUGGACCGGCAUUGGCGCUGAGGUGCGAAAGCGUGGGGAGCAAACAGG
rnacentral:rRNA from 1 species